rnacentral:rRNA from 1 species
CUCUUCCGAUCUCGCUGGCGGCGUGGAUUAGGCAUGCAAGUCGGCUCGAAAGGUCCCUUCGGGGGCCGAGUAGGGCGGCGAACGGGCGAGUAACACGUAGGUAACCUACCCCCAGGACCGGGAUAACACCCUGAAAAGGGUGCUAAUACCGGAUGUCGUCCCGAGGGCCACGGCUUUCGGGAUGAAAGGUGGCUCGGCGGUUUCGGCUGUCGGGCUAUCGCCUGGGGAUGGGCCUGCGGCCUAUCAGCUAGUUGGUGGGGUAACGGCCCACCAAGGCUACGACGGGUAGCCGGCCUGAGAGGGUGGUCGGCCGCACGGGGACUGAGACACUGCCCCGACUCCUACGGGAGGCAGCAGCCGAGAAUCUUUGGCAAUGGGGGAAACCCUGACCAUGCGACGCCGCGUGGGGGAUGAAGGCCUUCGGGUUGUAAACCCCUGCACUGGGGGAAGAAACCCCCGCUGGCGAAAAGCCGGUGGGGCUGACGGUACCCCAGUAGAAAGCCCCAGCUAACUACGUGCCAGCAGCUGCGGUAAGACGUAGGGGGCUAGCGUUGCCCGGAAUCACUGGGCGUAAAGGGGGCGUAGGCGGCCGCGCAAGUCGGGUGUGAAAGCCCUCGGCUCAACCGAGGAAUUGCACUCGAAACUGCGCGGCUUGAGUCCGGGAGAGGGAGGCGGAAUGCGCGGUGUAGCGGUGAAAUGCGUAGAUAUCGCGUAGAACACCGGUGGCGAAGGCGGCCUCCUGGCCCGGCACUGACGCUGAGGCCCGAAAGCCAGGGGAGCGAACCGGAUUAGAUACCCGGGUAGUCCUGGCCGUAAACGUUGGGCGCUAGGUGUGGGGAGCGUCGACCCUCUCCGUGCCGAAGCUAACGCGUUAAGCGCCCCGCCUGGGGAGUACGGCCGCAAGGCUUAAACUCAAGGUAAUUGACGGGGGCCCGCACAAGCGGUGGAGCAUGUCGCUCAAUUCGAAGCAACGCGAAGAACCUUA